rnacentral:pre_miRNA from 1 species
GUUCUACUCCCUCCGUUCGGAAUUACUUGUCUCGAAUAUGGAUGUAUCUAGAACUAAAAUACAUCUAGAUACAUCCAUUUCUGCGACAAGUAAUUCCGAACGGAGGGAGUACUUC